CCGAUCCCAGCGGCCAGUUUCACGACGCCACCGCUGCCGCGGUGCAUGCUGGUACUUGUAGUCAUCUGGCCGCUCCAGCCGCCCGGAGUGCAUGUGCGUCCUGUUUCCAAACGAUUUUUGGACAUUUUUAUGGUUCGUGUAAAGCCAUCGUGCGAUGGGAGGAUUGGCCUGCUGCGUUUCUGGAUGCUACAACAACGACACAAGGGACAAAGGCUUCGGAUUCUAUGUGUUUUCUAAAGAGCGAAAGCUUCGAGAGACGUGGAUCCAACGGAUUAAUAGGUGGUACUGGUAAUACACAACGCGAGAUGAAACACGGGGACGAAUGGCGGCCGCAUUUCGAUGCGGGCAAAAUGCGAAAACACCCGUGUACUUAGAUUUCCCAGGAUUUAUAGAUUAUUUGUCGAUUAUCGAUUAGCUAUGGAUUAGCUAUUGAUGAGAUAUUGCAAGGUAUUGGCCACGUAUUUGGGCUAGGCUAAGCACUACCAAGUCAUGCCCAGCAUUUUCCGGAAUUUAUUGAUUAUUGAUCGAUUAUCGAUUAGCUAUUGAUUGGCUAUCGAUUGGCUAUCGCAAGGUAUUGGCCACGUAUUUGGGCUAGGCUAAGCACUACCAAGUCAUGCCCAGCAUUUUCCGGAAUUUAUUGAUCAUUGAUCGAUUAGCUAUUUAUUGGCUAUCGAUUGGCUAUCGCAAGGUAUUGGCCACGUAUUUGGGCUAGGCUAAGCACUACCAAGUCAUCCCCAGCAUUGCCCGAAAUUUAUUGAUUAUUGAUCGAUUAUUGAUUAGCUAUUGAUUGGCUAUCGAUAGCCUAUCGCAAUGUAUUGAUCACGUAUUUGGGCUAGGCUAAGAACUACCAAGUCAUGCCUAGCAUUUUCCGGAAUUUAUUGAUUACUGAUCAAUUAGCUAUUGAUGUGCUAUCGAUUGGCUAUCACAAGGUAUUGGCUACUUAUUUGGGCUAGGCUAAGCACUGCCAAGUCAUCCCCCAAGUUUUCCGGAAUUUAUUGAUUAUUGAUCGAUUCUCGAUUAGCUAUUGAUUGGCUAUCGAUGACUUGGCGAUGAUUGGCUAUCGGUAUUUUUAUGUUAAAAACGCCACCUAGCUUACCUAAGAACUUCUAGAUGUCACUGUUACCGAAGUCUGCAAGUCGUGCGCGAAACCCAUGUAGGUAAGCAUCAUUAGGCCACGAAAGUUUCGGCGCCGCAUUUCAAACCGGUUUCCAACAGGUAUACAAAUCCUAUUAUGUCUGUCGCUAAGCAAACAUAACGUUGCAAUCACCGAGAUGCACGUGUGCAAAAAUAGUAAAGCAAAACGACCGUGUACAUCAGCAUGUACUACAUACAAAGCUCGAACAAAUACGAUGCUCGACGUGUAAUCAGCGGGUAACAACAGAAAUGAAAGAGCAGCAGGCACUCUUCAACGUUCGCCUCACAUGAUGCAAUGAACAGCCAAUGUAACUUGUUAACUUACAUGAAGAAUUUUUCUUGGUGGUGGAGUCGCAGAGAUGUCCGGGAAGCUCGUACGCAGUACUCAACGAGCGGGUAAUGCGGUGGUGGGGUUGACCAGUUGACUACAACCAACAUGGUGGCAUUGCUACUUCCGGAAAACCGGCGCAUGCGCAGAUCGGUUGGUGAUUUCGGUCU